CAGUAGCCGCGGUAACACGAAGGGUGCAAGCGUUACUCGGAAUUACUGGGCGUAAAGCGUGCGUAGGUGGUGGCUUAAGUCCGUUGUGAAAGCCCUGGGCUCAACCUGGGAAUUGCAGUGGAUACUGGGUCACUAGAGUGUGGUAGAGGAUAGUGGAAUUUCCGGUGUAGCAGUGAAAUGCGUAGAGAUCGGAAGGAACAUCUGUGGCGAAGGCGACUAUCUGGGCCAACACUGACACUGAGGCACGAAAGCGUGGGGAGCAAACAGGAUUAGAUACCCCCGUAGUCCCUGUCUCUUAUAC
rnacentral:rRNA from 1 species